rnacentral:rRNA from 1 species
AGCUCCAAUAGCGUAUAUUAAAGUUGUUGCAGUUAAAAAGCUCGUAGUUGGAUUUUGAGUUUGGUAAAAUCGGUCUACUUUUUGUAGUACUGACUUGCCUGCUCUUCUUCUCGAGGCUUAUGGGUGUACUUAACCGUAUGUUCAUAAUGUUCGGGACUUUUACCGUGAGAAAAUUAGAGUGUUCAUAGCAGGCUUUUGCUUGAAUAUUGCAGCAUGGAAUAAUGGAAUAGGAUCAUGAUCUUAUUUUGUUGGUUUCUAAGAUCAAGAUAAUGAUUAAUAGGGAUAGUUGGGGGCAUUAAUAUUUAGUUGUCAGAGGUGAAAUUCUUAGAUUUACAAAAGAUUAACUUCUGCGAAAGCAUUUGCCAAGGAUGUUUUCGUUAAUCAAGAACGAAAGUACGCA